rfam:Prochlorococcus marinus MIT9313 complete genome
AACAUCGUGAGGGGUGCGAAUCAACAGUUCAGGGUCGAAACAAGGCAAGACUCCUGAUUCUGUCCCACC